GCCCUAGUAGCUCAGUCGGUAGAGCAUCAGACUUUUAAGAGCUAUCCUCAAAAGUGAUCUGAGGGUCGCGGGUUUGAGUCCCUCUGCGGGCG
rfam:Octopus bimaculoides Scaffold941_contig_77, whole genome shotgun sequence.